AUUGAACGCUGGCGGCAGGCCUAACACAUGCAAGUCGAGCGGAUGAAGGGAGCUUGCUCCUGGAUUCAGCGGCGGACGGGUGAGUAAUGCCUAGGAAUCUGCCUGGUAGUGGGGGAUAACGUCCGGAAACGGGCGCUAAUACCGCAUACGUCCUGAGGGAGAAAGUGGGGGAUCUUCGGACCUCACGCUAUCAGGUGAGCCUAGGUCGGAUUAGCUAGUUGGUGGGGUAAAGGCCUACCAAGGCGACGAUCCGUAACUGGUCUGAGAGGAUGAUCAGUCACACUGGAACUGAGACACGGUUCAGACUACUACGGGAGGCAGCAGUGGGGAAUAUUGGACAAUGGGCGAAAGCCUGAUCCAGCCAUGCCGCGUGUGUGAAGAAGGUCUUCGGAUUGUAAAGCACUUUAAGUUGGGAGGAAGGGCAGUAAGUUAAUACCUUGCUGUUUUGACGUUACCAACAGAAUAAGCACCGGCUAACUUCGUG
rnacentral:rRNA from 1 species